UACGAAGGGGGCUAGCGUUGCUCGGAAUGACUGGGCGUAAAGGGCGCGUAGGCGGUUUGGACAGUCAGGCGUGAAAUUCCUGGGCUUAACCUGGGGGCUGCGCUUGAUACAUCCAGACUUGAGUGGGGAAGAGGGUCGUGGAAUUCCCAGUGUAGAGGUGAAAUUCGUAGAUAUUGGGAAGAACACCGGUGGCGAAGGCGGCGACCUGGUCCGAUACUGACGCUGAGGCGCGAAAGCGUGGGGAGCAAACAGG
rnacentral:rRNA from 1 species